rnacentral:rRNA from 1 species
UACGGAGGGUGCGAGCGUUGUUCGGAAUCACUGGGCGUAAAGCGCGUGUAGGCGGCCCAUUAAGUCUGAUGUGAAAGCCCGGGGCUCACCCCCGGAAGUGCAUUGGAAACUGAUGGACUCGAGUCCCGGAGAGGAGAGUGGAAUUCCGCGUGUAGCAGUGAAAUGCGUAGAUAUGCGGAGGAACACCGAUGGCGAAGGCGGCGACCUGGGCCAAUAUUGACGCUGAGGUGCGAAAGCGUGGGGAGCAAACAGG